rnacentral:lncRNA from 1 species
CUGUGUUCCAAAAGAGUUGGAAUACUGGAAAUAAACCUCUCUUUUUAUAGAAGAAAAGUCUAUUAUAGUCAAAGUUCUGAGAACAGAAAGAAAAUAGCCAAAGGUUUCAUGUGGAGUGAGAGCUCUGUCUCUUUACAAGAGCCAAAAUUUAUGUCCAUGAAUUUUAAGCUAAAAGAAUGAUGGCAGAACUCUCUGUUUCCUCUUAAACAAAAGGAACAUCUCAGUUAAGAAUUCUAAUCAAAGCCAGAAAGUAGAAGUAGAAAGACCUCUUACAACUUUUAGUCACCUAGCUGUAACAGUCUGAGUCUGAGUUGUUUGUCCUUCAUUCUUGAAGAGGACCAAUUAUAUCAUGAAGGAGAUGUCUUGAUUUGUGAGUGAAUUGUAGUUAAGUGAGGCAGAAGUACAUAAAGACACCAAUCUCACUUUUUCCUCCAGAGUCAUCCGAGUCCAAUGGCAAGACAUUAGUCAGGAUGACGAUGAUGACCACCUAGCUGCAAUGAGAAACAACAAAAACAAGGGAACUUUGACAAGUUGUACCAAUGGAAGAACCAGUGGGAAACAGUGAUUGCAGAGGAUGAAGGGGAAGCAGAACCAGCCAGGAUCCAGAAAUUACAUCAACAAAAGAGAUUUGUGGCCCUGGAUCAUUGGAGACAGAGGGCUGGACUCUGGUGACCUCAGCAUAUCCAGGCGCCAAUUAAUUUGUCUGGAAGCACCUGGUCAUUACUUUUAAAACCACUGUGGGAAAGGAAAAGGCCAGUGUUGGCCCUGCAUCUAUCGUGGUUUCUGGUAAGGAGGAUCUUUGUUAUUUAUAGCUUAAUGGUGACUUAGUUUCUGUGGAACAGCCUUGGUCUGUUUCCUCUCUGGGAAAAAAUAAUAACAAAAACCUUUAGAACUUCAAUUCCUUCACUGUGGAAUUUUAGAACAGUCUCUAGUUUUGAUCCCUCUAAGACUGUGAUGGGGUUUAAGGAAGGAAAAUAUUUUUGAGGGAAACAACCAUUUAAAAUUGGUUUGUAAGGAGAGUGUCCAAAGUUGCAUCCUAGUCUACUUCCCUAAAAUGUCCUUGAUGAAUUUGGAAAUACCCUUUUUAAAGAUCUUCACCAAUGUUUUUUCAGAAUGAUCUAUUUAAAAGUAAUUAAUCAAACCAUCAAUAAUCAUUCAUUAGAUACCUAGUAUGUGCUGGGCACUAUGUUAAGUGCUAGAAUUAAAAAGUCAUAGAAUGAAAUCUUUAUUUUGAUGAAAAAACAUAACACAUUCUCUAUCUCUUUCACACACAAAACAGAUACAAACAGAUUAAAUAUAAGCAGAUUAAAAGGCAAAGUAGUAAAAAUGCAACCUGGUUAAUGAGGGAGGAUAUUAGCAGUUGAACAUUCAUGUAGAAGGGUGAGCUUGGGGCCAUCUUGAAAGAAGAGGAUUCCAUGAGGUGAGAAGGGAGAGUCUUGUAGGAGAAGGGAGAACUUUCUAGGUUUGGCAGAUGGUCAGAACAAAGAUGGGAGAUGGAAGAGCAUUCCAUUAAAUGAGAAGGAAAAAUCUUGUAAAGGGAGAGGUUUCCAGGUAUCAGGGAUGGCCAGAAUAAACAGAUGGGGUAACAUGCUUGAGGAACACAGAGAAGGCCAUUGGAUGGAUCUAAUGGUGUGUUUGGGAGUAUGAUGGACUCUUUAGAUAAUUCAAAUUUUAGGUCUAAAAGGAACCUUAGAAAUAACCUAAUAACACUGUGAUUAUUAUGUAGCACUUCAAACACAUUAUCUCUUUUGAGCUUUAUAACAAUUCUCUGAGAAAAGUACUAACUUUUGGAUUCCAUCCCUUUGGUCCAAUGAGAGGUUAUGAGCCUGCCCAGGGAUGUAUCAAUUUUAAAUAUUAGAUUCAGAGAUAAAGCCUAGGUUUUUAUCAUUUAAAGUUCAGUGCUUUAUGUGCUAUACUACACUGCCUUACUUCUCUAAAUCUUUUGUUUAAUUAUUAGUCUGCUAAGUGGUCGAGUGGAUGGGAUAGUGGACCUAGUAUCAGGAAAACUCAGUUUCAAAUGUUUCAUUGCAAAUUCAGUCUCAAACACUGAAUUUAAUUAAGUGAAUGAGCAAGUCACUUAAUCUUUGUCUACCUCAAUUUCUUCAUCUCCAAAAAGGGGAUAAUAAUAGUACUCAUAUUCCAGCAUGUAUGAGGAUAAAAUUUUAUAUAUAUAGUACUUUCUAAACUUUUUAGUAUGAUACAAAUGUUUAUUAUUGUUCAUAUUCCUGAAACUUCAUUAGGUGUAUGACCCUGGACAAUUUAUUUAACCUCUUUUUAUUUACCUUAUCUGCAAAAUGGGUAUAAUAAUAGCUUUUAUUUCAACAAGU